rnacentral:rRNA from 1 species
UAAUACGUAGGGUGCAAGCGUUAAUCGGAAUUACUGGGCGUAAAGCGUGCGCAGGCGGUUAUGUAAGACAGGCGUGAAAUCCCCGGGCUUAACCUGGGAAUUGCGCUUGUGACUGCAUAGCUAGAGUAUGUCAGAGGGGGGUAGAAUUCCACGUGUAGCAGUGAAAUGCGUAGAGAUGUGGAGGAAUACCAAUGGCGAAGGCAGCCCCCUGGGAUAAUACUGACGCUCAUGCACGAAAGCGUGGGGAGCAAACAGG